AGUUUGAUCAUGGCUCAGAAUGAACGUUGGCGGCGUGGAUUAGGCAUGCAAGUCGUGCGAGAAUCUCCUUUCGGGGAGAGGACAGCGGCGAAAGGGAGAGUAACGCGUGGUUACAUACCCUCGGGACCGGGAUAGUAGCGGGAAACUGCUAGUAAUACCGGAUAAUAUCUUUGGAUCAAAGGUGUGAUUCCGCCCGAGGAUUGGACCGCGUUCUAUUAGCUUGUUGGCGGGGUAAUGGCCCACCAAGGCGACGAUGGAUACCGGGUGUGAGAGCAUGGCCCGGCUCACUGGGACUGAGACACUGCCCAGACACCUACGGGUGGCUGCAGUCGAGAAUCUUCGGCAAUGGGGGCAACCCUGACCGAGCGACGCCGCGUGCGGGAUGAAGGCCUUCGGGUUGUAAACCGCUGUCAGUUGGGAGGAAAUAUUAGGGGGUUCUCCCCUUAGUUUGACCGAUCUUCAGAGGAAGGACGGGCUAAGUUCGUGCCAGCAGCCGCGGUAAGACGAACCGUCCAAACGUUAUUCGGUAUCACUGGGCUUAAAGCGUGCGUA
rnacentral:rRNA from 1 species